rnacentral:misc_RNA from 1 species
AACGCACGAGACCUGCGGACCUGCGGAAGGAUCAUUAAUGAGAAGCUGCCCCUCGUGGGUAGACCUCCCACCCUCUGUGAACUUACCUUUGUUGCUUUGGCAGGCCCGUCCUCUGGACCGCCGGCUUCGGCUGGCCCGUGCCUGCCAGAGGAUUCCAAACCCUGUCUGUCAGUGUUGUCUGAGUCUAUAUGAAAUCGUUAAAACUUUUAACAACGGAUCUCUAGAUCGGAAGAGCACACG